rnacentral:tRNA from 1 species
GCGCCAGUAGCUCAGCGGAUAGAGCACCGGAUUUCUAAUCCGGCGGCCGGGGGUCCGAAUCCCUCCUGGCGCGCCA